GCGGAUGUGGCUUAGUGGUAGAGCAUCGGCUUCCCAAGCCGAGGAUCGCGGGUUCGAAUCCCGUCAUCCGCUCCA
rnacentral:tRNA from 1 species